AGUAAUUUAAAUUAAUCAGAUUACGUUUCUGAGUUUUGGUAAUCCAAAAGUUACGUUACUGAUUACAAUUUUGGACAGAUAACUAACUAGCAACGGUAAAGGAUUGCAUUUCUAAAAAAUAUCCUACCUGGGUUAGGGACUGAGGUCUAGUGCUGCAGACCUAGUAAAACAAUUUAUAAUGAUGUUUUAUUGUCACAUACACCAGAUAGGUGCAGUAAAAUGUGUUGUUUUACAUAGUCAACCAUAGUAGUUUGGCACCCCUGCAGCAAAUUAGGGUUUAAGUACCUUGCUCAAGGGCACAUCGACAUAUUUUUCACCUUUUCGGUUACUGGCCCAAUGCUCUAACCGAUAGGCUACCUAUUACAGCUGGAGACUGAUGACCUAUUGAUAGGGACUGAUGGCAGAACCUAGCACAGGCAACUUGUGGACUAGCAGGGCAGGAUGCUCUCAGCCUGGCGGUCUAGGCAACUGCCUACCAACUUGAAACUGAAACUCUGACCCUAACGAGAAGGAAGGGAACUCAACAUCGAUGCCAAGGGGGACAUCAGAGGUGACUUCUGGUGGGUCACACAGGGUGAUGUCUGGCGGGUCUCCUAAGGCAAUGUCUGGAAGGUCUAGAGGUAUCAGGACCCUCGGGGCUGGAACUAGCACGGUACUGGCAGGUGGGACUGGAGAGGCUCCAACGUCCUGGCUGCACUUGACAUUUGCAGUAGCUGCAGGCUCCAUCCUAGGAGCAGAUGAAGAAUCCCCCGCCGGCUUUGGCUCCGGGCCAGGAGCAGGCGAGGCAGGUGGAGACUUCGUGGUUGAAGGUUCCAGGGCAGCAGACAGUCGAACCCCGGGCACAACUAGUAGGGGAUCCCCACUGCUUGCACUUCAAUGGCAUCCUUCGAGGACAUUUUCUUCUUUUUCUAACCAGACGAAGUACUAUGAAGGCACCACUGAUCUUGACAAGAGGCACAACAUUUGUAUGGGGCAGAGGUUUUCCCAAAUCAGGGCAAUCACAUGUACCUACGGUGGAAGGAUGGCCAGCCACAUAGGAGGGUGAUUUUCACUGAGGAGAAGGAUGCCGUGCUGACCGAGAUGCACGCUGGCCAUUUCAGAGUGAAGCACAUGAUUGCCAAAAUCAACCUACGCUUCUUCUGCCGUGGGAUUGUCAAGGAUGUGGGCAGCUGGGAAAGUGGAAUAACCUUUUGUUAAUCAAUCACAUUCUAUUAUAUCUGAAAUGAUUAUGAUUUCAAUGAAUGUCAUUUCAGAGAGCACACAAUGUUUCAAUUUGUAACUUUGUACUUAAAGGUCAGUACCUGUCUAGCCUGCCAGAAGUUUGGAGUUGAAGCCCAUCAGUUGUUUCACAUGAUUGCUAAGUGUCAGAAUAAAAAUGUUGCACUGAUAACUUGUUUUGUAAUGGUUGCUUUAUUUGACCACAGUAGUGUUCAAUAUUAUAUCAUUUCUGUGUGUCAGUAUCCUUACAAAUAUGUAAAUCUGCAUACUCUAUGACACAGAUACGGGCAAGAAUAAAGUAACCUUCUGUCUACACUUGAAAUGUUAGGGGUGAACCUCGGACCCUUCACGAAAUCCAGGAAUGGCAACAGCUGGUGUCUGACGGCGAACGAUUACUUUACCAAGUGGGUGGAGGCAAUCAAUACCCAUUAAGGAUGAAACUGGCGAUACCCAUUAGAGAUGAGACUGGCAAGGCCACCUCCAAGGCGAUGAUGGACAUCUUCAACACCCACGGUUCUCCUGAGGUCAUCUUGAGUGACCGAGGUCGUGAACUCUGGAACAAGGUUUGCAUGAACGGACCAACCAGACCCUCAAGACUGACUAAGGAAAGUCCCUUGAUGGGUACCAGGAACGGUGGGAGGACAAGCUGAAGAUCACUGAAGUCCCACCUGAUGAGGUGGAAGUUGUCUAGAGCAGAACCCCACAAAAAUCUCAGAUAAUAACUACUUGCAUUUGCACACAAAAUAACCUGAAGCUAGUUUUAGUUUAAAAAAAAAUCAUCUUUGUCUAUGGUUACUUCGGAGAAAACAAGAACCUUCUCCAGUUGGAGCAGUUAUACGGUCGACCACUGAAAGCCCCGAGGCACUUCAGUGAAGCACAAUAGACAAAAACCAUUGACUGUCUGAGUCAUCCAGGAGGUAUCCGAUUCACUAGAGCCAGUGAAGUGAAGUUGGAGGGGGACCAGUGAAGUCAAAGGGGGACCAGCUUGAGGUUGAGACCAUGGUAGUAGAUGAGGAGGAGCAGUAUGACCAGGGUUAUUCUUGGCCGAGCAGUCCUUACAAAGCUUUCCUCCAAGGCUCUGAUGCAUCUAAUGUUGUCCAGAGGCCUGUGUCUGCAGGCUUCAGGAAAGUCAUUGGGCUGGACUGCCAUGUGGACAGUGCAGUGCAUUUGUGAAUGAAUGAAUGGAUGGAUACAUUUAAUUGAAUGAUACUGUAUUGAUCAGUUAGAGGGGAAAUUGUGUUUGAAGUUCACCACCACCGGUGUCGUGGAAAUAUUCAGUCAAUAAUAUUUCUCAAAUACCGGAGCCUGUGAGUUCAAAUAGACUUCUAUUACAAUACAAUAAAAGCCGAGCUGGUUCAUGAAAACUGCCUUUUCAACCUUGGCACACACUUCUAAUACAUUUUUCCUCCUUCCAUCACUCACAUAGUAACUCCUUUUUAUGUUAAUAAUUCAUCCCCUCUGGCAUUUAGCUACCGUUAUCUUUUUGCCUUGCACUAAUUUUAGUUUGGCUUCAUAUUAGGGCAUGGAAACAUGAGAUCCAUAGCAAUAGUUCAAAAAUAAACAGACAUGUCAUCCUGCUAACUCCUCUGAAAUGAACACACAUGUUCUGGAAAAUUCUCAAUUGGCGUAACCAUAGCAACAGUAAAUAUUAGGCCAUAGCACUGUUACAGAAAUAAACAGUCAUGUCCACUCCUCAGACACGUGCAUGUCUAAUGGUGUCUAAUGACCCAAAGCACAUAUAGAGUGCACUAUUCUUGCUGGCUCCUCUGAAAUGUAUAAUGGCCACACAUUGCCUCCAUCUUCUCUUGCUCUCUCCUCACCCUCAACAUUUAUGUUGCAUCUCGCUCCCUACACUGUACUGGCAGCACAGUGUGUGUGUGUUUCUCUUUCAUUAUGAUUAAACCAUGCUGUUAUGGCAAAAUACAAUUUGCUCUUAACGACAUUCCUAUACAGAUUAAAUGAUUAAAUCGCAAUCUGCUCUAUCUGCACUGAUUUGUGAAGUAAUUUAAUGUUGAGUUAAAUGUAAAAAAAUAUAUGUUUCAGAGGUUUAAAAAGGAACAGAAAGGAACGAUAUAAACCAAUACUUUGUUUGGUUUCCAAAAGCUGGUCGGAACAGUGGAACGGAACAAACAUUUUUUGUUUUUGUUUCAGAAUUAAAUGGUUGGAAAAUACAGUAAUUUCAGUUCCAACUCCUGGUAUGUGUGCCUGUGUGCGUGUUCCUGUCCUCGGCCCCCUUGUCAGGUAGAGGCACUGGUCUGACCAGCCCCAGAGAUGGAGGACUACAGUCACCUUUGGAACCUGAGCCACACACACCACACACACACACAUACACACACAGUUUAUCUCUAGCUAGCAGAAUGAACAGAGUGAUGGCUACUAGACUGGGGAAAUACAACAUGGGCCCAUCUUAUUAGUGUAGAAUACCGUAACCACCACAUUUACUUGUGCUAGAUCCCCAUCUCUCCCUUGUUCUAGUUAUUAUGUAUGUCAUGAAGAAUGGUUAGAGCGCUGUGUAUACAGAUGUUUCUGCAUGGAUGUGUGGUUUCUAGAAAUUGCACUCAUUUAAAUACACUUAUUCUGGUAUAAUAAUUCUCAAAGGAAUUAGAAUGGGGAGCUUCAUAACAGUGAUGAACGUACACAAUAGUUGGGCGAUAUUACUAUUCCAUGUAAUAGAAGCCAGCUUUGGAAAUUAGAAGAUAGAGUCUUAUUUAAGCAAUCAAUAACAAGUGAACAUUUUGUUUAAUGAAAACUAUAAUUUCAGCCAAUGGCAAUUAUGGCAUAGGGAGAUGUUUUGGUGUGGUAUGCACUUUAGUAAUAAAGAUGUUCUCAUUUUCUUAUCUAAAUCAUUAUUGACUUCGGGGGGUAGUUAUGACCCUGCUAAGGACCUCAUCAAUAGCUUUAUUUAUUACUUAUCGCG
ensembl:lncRNA